GCUCCAGUGGCGCAAUCGGUUAGUGCGCGGUACUUAUAAUGCCGAGGUUGUGAGUUCGAACCUCACCUGGAGCA
rnacentral:tRNA from 1 species